CUACGGGGGGCAGCAGUGAGGAAUAUUGCACAAUGGGGGGAACCCUGAUGCAGCAAUGCCGCGUGUGUGAAGAAGGCCUGCGGGUUGUAAAGCACUUUCGGUUGGGAGGACUGCUUCUAGCACUAAUAUUGUUGGAAGUUGACGUUACCUUCAGAAGAAGCACCGGCUAACUCCGUGCCAGCAGCCGCGGUAAUACGGAGGGUGUAAGCGUUAAUCGGAAUUACUGGGCGUAAAGCGCGCGUAGGCGGCUAGAUCAGUCGGGUGUGAAAGCCCCGGGCUUAACCUGGGAACUGCAUCCGAUACUGUCUAGCUUGAGUACAGGAGAGGAGAGUGGAAUUCCACAUGUAGCGGUGAAAUGCGUAGAUAUGUGGAGGAACACCAAUGGCGAAGGCAGCUCUCUGGCCUGAUACUGACGCUGAGGUGCGAAAGCGUGGGGAGCAAACAGGAUUAGAUACCCCCGUAGUC
rnacentral:rRNA from 1 species